rnacentral:antisense_RNA from 1 species
CUUGACCGAGCCGAGCAGCAGCGGCGCCGCCGACCCCCGGUCCUGCCCGUACGUGGCGAGCAGCGCCUGCGCCUC